rnacentral:rRNA from 1 species
UUGACCUCGGAUCAGGUAGGAAUACCCGCUGAACUUAAGCAUAUCAAUAAGCCCGAGAAA